GACGAACCGUGCGAACGUUAUUCGGAAUCACUGGGCUUAAAGCGCGUGUAGGCGGGACGGCACGUCGGUCGCUGAAAUCCCCCGGCUCAACCGGGGAACGGGCGCCGAUACGACCGCCCUGGAGGGACGUAGGGGGACCUGGAACUUCCGGUGGAGCGGUGAAAUGCGUUGAGAUCGGAAGGAACACCCGUGGCGAAGGCGGCUCUCUGGGACGGUACUGACGCUGAGACGCGAAAGCGUGGGGAGCGAACAGG
rnacentral:rRNA from 1 species